rfam:Triticum aestivum genome assembly, contig: Triticum_aestivum_CS42_TGACv1_scaffold_193627_3AL
AAGGUACUUCCUCCGUCCAGAAAAAUUUGUCCCUCAAAUGAAUGUAUCUAGCACCAAGUUAGUGCUAGAUACAUCAAUUUGAUGGAUAAGCUUAUGACAAGCUUUUUCGAACGGAGGGAGUAUCAC